AGUGCUCCUGCUGACCUUCCCUGUCUGCAGCCCAGCUUUGGACUGUGGAGAUGCCCUCAGCCUCUACUCAGUGGCUCCAGCCUCAUAUUUGCGUGCUAUACCUUUAACCUCAAGUUCUCUUGCUGCUAACUUAAGCUGUGACUGUCCAGGACCUGCACACACACAUAUAUGCACGCAUGCACACACACACACACACACACACACGCAGAAGGUGAACACACAGGAUGAGGCCCUGAAAACUCAUUUCACCCGUGUACCUCACCCAAAAAUUCCCCUUUGUACUCCUAUCUUUAUCUCUAACAGACAGCAUGAAGGUAGCCCGAAGUCCCCUCACCCUGUCUGUCCUCCUGAUUCUCUAGCCCAGUUCCCUCUAGCUCCAGCACAGACUCUUAUCUCCAGCCCUGACUGCUGAAACCCUCCAGCCCCAGCUCCAGCCCCUCAGGAGGGGACUGCGUGGGAGGAAUGACUCCAGCAAGCCGGCAGCUGACCCGUGUCUGGCCUGCAUGCCUCCCCCUGUGGUCCACUGCCGGUGGUCUUCAGCUCUCUCCUCGUCCCACCCCCAUGGUCUGCUGACAGCCCAGCCCAGUGCAUCCCUGCCAUCUCUGCUCUACCGCUGGUCCUCCCAACAACCAACUUACAGCUUCCAAUUGUGGACAAGAUAAGGACCAUUGCCCAGGCUGUCUAUGGAGCCAAAGAUAUCGAACUCUGUCCUGAGGCACAAGUCAAAAUAGAUCGUUACACUCAGCAGGGUUUUGGAAAUUUGCCCAUCUGCAUGGCAAAGACCGAUCUUUCUCUGUCUCACCAACCUGACAAAAAAGGUGUGCCAAGGGACUUCAUCUUACCUAUCAGUGAUGUCCGGGCCAGCAUAGGUGCUGGGUUCAUUUACCCUUUGGUCGGAACGGUGCACCACUGACAUCAUGGCUCGGCUGGACUCUGGAAAGCAGGAAAUUGCUGGAGCAUGUUUGGGCAUCAAUGAUGUCAUCCGCUACGAAUGCCGGGUGGGGUUACUGGACUGAGGGCCAUGAAAAAAGAAAGCUGCGGCCCUGCCCCGUGGACUCACUGCCAUUCUGUUCUUUCUCACGUUUCAGUUCAGCUCACUUUGUUUUCCGUCCCCCUCCCUCUACUGUAAAAGUAUGUACUCAGUGUUUCAUUUCCUGCUGGAUCUGAUUCAGGUCAGUGAUGAAGUUCUUUGCGAGCUCAGUGGGGAGGCGUUUCCUCCCUUUCAUACCGGCCCUGCUUAGGGAUGCAUGGUUGGUUAUAUACUUGCUUCACUCGGUUAGGCAUGGAGGAGAAUUCAUUCAGACCUCAUAGGUUUAAAUCAAAUGCAUGACCCUUCACAUUUUCCAGAGAUUUAGACAGUUACAGUGAGACAAUUAAACAUUCACCCCCCAAGCUGCACUUGGAGAUGUGUAAGCAGUAAUGUAGUCAUGCGCUCCCCAUGAUAUGAGAGUGUGCAGAAUGCCACUCCCCACAGCAGGUCCACCAGGACCUCCUCAGGGAGCAUCUUGCCUACAAAAUCACCCAUCCCUUUUCCCCCACUUUCUUCACUUUCCCUACGUUUCCACUCCCACACCCACAAAUAAACAAAGAAACUUUGAGCUUAUUUUACAAAAGUCUUUGAAAUGGCCCUCCUCUCUCCGAUGCUCCUGGGCCCUGGUUUGGCCCCAUCUGUGCAGUCUCUCUGAUGAGUGUGAAAUAAGCCAGGUUUGGCUCAUGCUCUCCCUGUGAGCUUGCUCUCCCCGUGAGCCUGCCCUCUCCAUCUGGCCUCACUUUGUUUGUGUCCCUGGGUCCUUUGUCUCUGAUCCUGGGAUCCUGGUGGUUUCCUCCUCCCCGCCCAGCUUGGGUCCUUUUCCCCAGGGUUCUUCCCUAUCUCUACAUCAGAAUUUCCUGCUUUCUCCCAAAUAUGCAUUUCCCUGGCCCAGGCAUCCAUUGCUUCCUCUCAUCGUGAGGUCCCUGCAGCAGACUGCCAAUGGUGUUGUGGCCAUGCCUUCCUCCACAACCCAGGGAAAGCUACAUGUGUGUCUGUCCCAUAGGGAAGGAGUCAUCCCUGUCUCUUCAGUGUGGCAUGUUCAGGAGGAAGGAAAGUAACCAGCGUCAUUCUCAAUUUACGGAAACUGUUUAUCAUAUUGACAAGAAGAAGAAAGCUUUGCGACUCAUGAGAAUGAUGUUUUCUUCUCUGGUACAUAAGGUUAUGUAGGUCCAAUCCAUUGUGUAGAAGAUCUUUUCUCCCUUAAUGGGAUGUACACUUAUUUUUAGCACAAGUAUAAAACUACUUUAAAUGAAGUCAGCCUCAGCCAGGGAAAUAUGCUGAGUAAUAAUGUUGCCAGGUACUAUACCACUGAGUUGAGUUUGCAAUUCACUGCUAUUAAUCCCUGCAUGUUAGUUCUGAAUUUUUACUCUUUGCAUACGUAGAAAAAAUGGUGUUUCUCUUCAGAGUCAAGGAGGGAAAAAAGAAAAGUUAAAAGACACUUAUAACACUUUUGUGUCCACCCCUAAAAUCAGCAUAUUGAUCUACUAUUUUUCUAGGUAUUGAUGGAAUAUUGACUCAUAUACUUUCAUACAACUGCUAAUAUAUAUAUAUAUAUAGACUCAUUUUUCUUCUUCCACUUUCAUCUACAGCCUAUUUGUUUUUCUCCCCCCAUUUUUCGUUUGGAUUCAUAGCAUAAAUUGACAACAAAGAUACAUCUCAAUUUAGAGCUUCCAAAAGGCACCCAUAAAAGUAUCUGGUGCUCAUGGAAUUUCUCUUUCUUCUGUGUCUCUUAGUUACACUUUUCUCUUAUUACACUUUUCUAUCCAGCCGCGGCUAAGAGGCAUAUAAUCAGAAGCAGCUAAGCAAUGUAUGCAAGGGAAAUAAAAUGAACACAAACCAAGAUAACCGGUUUUGUAAAUUAGAUAGCAAGGCCACCCUCAGAGUCAGUUUGAGGGUUUCGUGGGAAGCCUAAGAAAUAUAACUGAUAUAACUGAUAUAUUAUCAGUUAUAAAAAAAGUUAUAAGAAAAGGGUCAAGCUUUAAAACUGGAAUUGGCUUUUCAAAUUUAAUGAGCAAAAAGAAACCCCAAAACUGGAAUUGUAAUUGUGGAGAAAUAGAACUGAUAAUAUCUGGAACUUGCAGCAGUUUACAGGCUUAACUAUGUAUGUGUUCCUUAAAUUAUCCACCCGCAGAUAUCAGAUUACAAUAAGUCCUCACUUAAUGUCAUUGAUAGGUUCUUGGAAACUACCACUUUAAGCAAAAGGACAUAAUGCAUACGAAACCAGUUUUCCCAUAGUCUAAUUGAUAGGAAAAAGAGUUGAGUUAUGAAGCCACACAGUACCUCGUUUGGCUUAAAGUCACUGUUUCCAAGAACAUAUCCACAAUGUUAAGUAAGGACUUACUGUAAAUGAAAAUAUUUGCAGUAAAUCGCUUUUGAGAGAAUUGGUUAUCACACUCUUCUCUGGGUAUCACUGAAAAUUCAGAAUGUUUAGUUACAUCAGGCUAUACUCACUGGUAUGAAAUCAGGGAGCAAGUAUAAAGUAGGUGUAGGGAAAUAAUUUAUGUUGGAUUAAAUGAUCCAAUGAAGGAAUUUUAUUAAGCCCCUAGAAAUCCCAGAAUGAAAAUGUAUAACUGCAUGACUAACCCCUGUAAGAAUUUGCUGGGGUUUCUGCAUUAUGUACGCUUCCCAGGCCAUUUGUAAUGAAGCUACCGUGAUCUGUUAAGGAAGAGACCUACACCUGGGAACAUAAACAGCCAAUUCCAUCCUGGA
rnacentral:lncRNA from 1 species